GUACCAGGUGGAGGCAAUUGGCCUCAGCUGAUUACCCACUGACUGUUUGUAUUGUGGUUUUAAAAUGCAGUAGAGGCAAGCGGGAGAGCGAGCGACGGUGUGAGAGAGCAAGACGCCGGGAGACCUCGCGGAUCAAAGAGAAAAGCAUCAAUAAAAAGCUCAUUGAAACAGAACCCACUGUGUCGUACCGAGUCUGUAGGAAGUACCGAGGAAGGUGCCCCAAGCACCCACACCGUGACAGUGGCGCCCAACGUAGCGGGGGGACGACGAGAUGGCACACAACGAGCGACAGCAGGGGAUGCCGGCUCAGCCGAUCAUGGCGCUGGGACAGAUGAUCGGCGAGCUGGCGGUCAUCCAGCGCGACCAAGCAGAGGCCAACCGGCAGUUCCUGGGGGCGCGCUAAGCCCAGGUGGGAAGACAGGCGCUGGCUGGCGGAUGAGUGGCCGGUCCGGCUUUUGCCUCUCCUGUCCAGGGAGGCGCAGACGGCGGCCAUGGGGCUGCCCCCGGCGGGACUACGCGUCCGUGCAUAAGGCGGUAAUCGACAGGCUGGGGCUGCUGCCAGAGGACCACCACCGGCGGUUUCGGCAGACCAGGUUGGAGCUAGAGGAUCAGCCGUUUGUGUACGGGCAGCGGCUCAAAGACCCCGCGAACAGAUGGCUGCUGCCUAACAGCGAUAGGGGGUGGAGGCCGUGAUGGAGAAGGUGGUGUUGGAGCAGUUUGCGGAGGGUCUCCCGACCCGGACGGCAGCGAUUAGGUCCAGAGAAUGUGGAGCUGUAAGGGGUGCACAGAAACUGUAUCAAAAUAAAGGGCUUUGAAGAUGGCCAUGGCUGUGAUCGUGAAGAUCUUACUGACUGAUGGCAUGGAGUCUUGCACAUGGACUCCCUGAAUCUCUUGAAGACCUUCUGGCUGAAGUAAAAAAACAGUGUAACCUUCAGGGAAACAUCAGACCUCAGUUUAUGGACUCGUUUGGGAAUGAGUUUAUGAAUCCAACUUCAGUUUCAGAGGUGGAGGACAGAGGGACUCUAAGAAUAAUUGAUUUGUCAACACCCACAAUGCAGCAUGAGAGCUCUACAGUUCUACCCCUCCAACCAUCAAGUCCUAUCGCAUCAAAAGAGUCUUCAUCGCUAUCAGAUGAACUUGUGGAUACAGAUAUACGGUCAUCAAAUGAGUCUACAAGCUCACGGUCCUCCUGGCCAGCUGUGUUUCAUGUACCCAAGUUCUCCUAUGAUGCAGAAUUAAAACUUCAGCGGGCAGGUUUAGUCUACAUUCAAAAUGGCACUGUACUCAUUCCAGAUCCCAAGUUGAAGUCUGCCAUCCUUGAUGGGUUAGUGCAGGAAAUUGUGCAGUAUAAAGUCUAUGUUAGUGAUAUGGAGAUGGAGAUGGAACAAGUAGCCCAGAGUCUCAUCAAGAAACAUCCAUGUCUAACUGAGAAGGGGUCCAGUACUGGAUAUGGUGGAUGGAAGAUGAGGUUGAAAUAUAAACUAACUACUGCACACAACUGAGAAAACUGGGAUGCCCAGAAGUGACUGUGAACUCUUUGAAAAACAAACCUGUUGGAAAGCGCAGUGCAGCCUUUGGCAUCAAAAAGGCAAAGAGAGCAGAAGUUAAUUUUUGCCCCACAUACCCAUCAGCUGAAACUGAGGAGAGUCUACGAGCCAUGUGGAAAUCUUUACUCUUGGAUGUAAAGAAGAGGAACAACCGAGAAGCUGUGAAGCUUAAUAUGUGUGACGACCCCUGCUGUGGAGGCAGCAGCCUUCCAAUGAAAUUUGGUUUUGGUGAUUGAAGGCACCUGGGCCGGGUACCCUGUGAUUAGAAAGCCCCGUAUUCAUUCAUUCUGUCGCUCUCUCCUCUCUCCAGCAGAUGUCCGUUGUGGUAGGGCAGCCGCUUGUUGAAUCCUGUUUCCUUUUGGUUAAAAGCCCUUGACAACACCCAUCAUUUACACUUUACCCUCAUGCACAUCCUACACUACUGAUAAUACUGACAUUCACAUCCAUCUGGAAUGGUUGUGGCUUUUUGUCAUUGUUGUGUUAA